GCUCGCUUUCGGUAACGUGUCUCUGAUUCCUCUGCGCGGCAGUGAGAACGAGAUGGGAAUAGUGUCGCCGCUUUCACCGCCGAUCCUCUCGCCCUCUUCAGAAAUGUUUGACGGAGUGAACGGUGUUCAGGAACUGAAGGUGUGUGC